rnacentral:lncRNA from 1 species
CUGAAUGGGAACGAAGCUCUGCUAGGUGGCAGCACUGAAAUGACAUGCAAGCCUCUCGAAACCGGUAUGAGAAUUGACUCCUCCUUCCUCUCUGGUUUUCACCUUUACCCUGCGCCGAGGAGGAGCACCCUGCCCAGACUGGACGUAACGUGGGGGCCUGGUUAGUCCCCGGAGAUCCGUACAAAAUACGACCCGGCAGCGCACCGAGCCUGGGGCGUUCGUGCUUUCCACGUGGCCGCAGGAAGGCGCGGCCGGGCGCGUGAAACAGGAAGCGCUUGUGUGCUGGCGCGCGAGGGAAGCCGCGGCAGGACAGGGACAGUCGUUGCCCCGUGGCCCUUGCCAGACUCGGGGAAUGGUUUAAUGGGAGUUUCAUGUCCCCAGUCCUGCCCACAGCGCACAAUGAAGAUAAUUAGCAAUGGAUUUGUGCAACUUCUGAUUCCAAUGGCAGCCACAGGGGUGGUGCACACGAGUAACUCCACCGUUUUACAAGAUGAAUUGUUUCUGAUCCACACCUGUCCCAGCCGCCUGUGGAGGGUUCGGGAUUGAUUGAGAGUGUGGUCGGGGGGUAGAAAGGUAAGAAAGGUUUUAUUGACUUAACAAAAACACGACUAUGCAUAGUAUACUAAGACAGA